AUCUAAAUGACGAGUCCCGAAUAGGACGAAAUGCGCUUUAUCCUGGAU
rnacentral:hammerhead_ribozyme from 1 species